GACUCUGAAAAUUGGUGUGAGAAUAUACUUGGGCAGAUUCUGACGAAGCUGGAACCUUGAACUCCUAACUUCUUCCAGCCCUCCUAUGCAGUAACAGCAGUCCAUCUUCUCCAGUCUGAGAUUAGUCUUUCCUUAUAGUGGGAUCCCCUAAGGUAGUCACUUUGGAGGUUGUUGAUAGCUUGCUUAAGAGACUAAUAAAUUUGUCAGUAGUGAUCAUGUUUAAAACCUUGAAAUGCUGCCAGUCUAUCAGCAAUCAGUAUCAGUCAGCCAACAACAGACAGUUCUGCACAUCUUAGAACCAGAUCUGUCAAUGGUGAUCUUCUCAUAUAUGGUGGACUGUUGGAGGAAGCCUGCAUUGUUCUUUUCAUGUGCUCCCACAAAGAUUGUUUCAUUAUGGUUCCUGCCAGAAAUGGAGUCAGGCAGUUGCUUUGAGCAAGCAUGGCAAGAAUCAGAGGGCCUAGACUCAGAGUAUCUUUUAGGCUCUCCCUUCUGCUGAGUUAAUGGAGGGGAUGUUAUGCGGAACUCUUCAUUCAGCCCUUCAGGAUGUGAAAUCAAUGCUUUCUCAGGUGAUGAUUCUUCCUUUUAGUUGCUCCUGAUUCCUGCAUUUCCUUACCUCUUAACACAAACAACCAGGAAUAGCUUUCUCUUUCUCCUACAUACCACAUGUGAUUGAUAUAAUUGUGGACAUCUGGCUGGUCUGUUGAUGCCUCCAUGGAGAGGGAUCUAAGCACCAAGAUCUCUCUGAAGGGCUAAUGUUUCAGUUCUUGUAAGAGGAAUGUUAAAGGGAGAGGAGAGGAUUGGAUCUCCUAGGACAAAUAUCUAAAAAGCAAAGAUCGCAUUGUCAAGGCCUGGCAAAGGGCUAUCCUUUUCUUACAGAACCCUUAUUCAGACCAUGCAUUUGGGAGGUAGGUGGAUUAAGAGCAUAGUUAAGAGCUCAGAAUCAAGCUGCAUUGGAAUCCCAGUAGGAUCCCUUACCCGCUUUGUGUUUGGGGCAAAUUUCUUCACCUCUCUUAGAUCCCCUCUCCCAUUCAUCUGUCAAAUGGGCACAAGAAUGGCGAGGCUUAAAUAAGAGAUGGGGGUGUGAGGUAUCAGGUAUAGUAAGUAUUCAAAGUUACCCAUUAUUAGUACAGGCAUUUUAUUAGCCCCCAAGAUCAUGUACCUCUUCCAACAGUUUGUGAACCAGAAUUGUCUUCCCUUAAGUUGUAUCAAAACUCUAAAAAGCCAAAAGAAAUAAAAAGCCCUUUCUAGCACUUGGAACAGCCUCCAGCCUGUCCCAAUCCUCUGACAUUAUCUGAGGGAUUCUGGGACCCUUCACUCUGUUCCCAGAGCAGUGGUAGUUCUGUGCCCUGGGGUUUCCUAGCCCUGUGAGAAUGCCAUCCUGCCAUUUUCAUUAUGCUCUGGGAGCUGAGGGCCGCAAAGGUCAGUCCCAUCUUCAUUUUGUAUUCCAGGAUGUCACGAGCCAUCAUUUCGGUAUAUUCUUCCAGUUGUUUAAUAAUUCCCCAUCCUGAUUUCAAGGCCUUUUCUAUCCAGUCAGAAUGAAUCCCUUGUUAAUCACAAGACACAUGAUUGUAACUAUCUCCUCCAGUUCUGUACCUUUUCUCAUAUGAGUGCUUUCAGUGACAAUGCUUGUUGUCUAUCUGGGUAUCAAAAUUACCUAUUCCUCUCAGUCUCCAGGUUUCUGGAUAAACUGCCACUCACUCACUUUAUCAGUCAAGAGUAGUUUGAUGGGUACUUACUAGGUGCCAGACCCUGGUGAUAGAAGAUCAUAGACUGCCAGCUCAUAAUCACUUUACCAAUAGCAAAGUGCUGAAAUGGAGAGAGAGAUGUGGGUGGUAAGAGAAGCUGUCAAGUCUGUCCUGGGAAGGCAGCGACAGCUUCAUUUGAACUGAGAUCUCAAGGGCAGGUUAUAUUCCAUCACUGGACAAACUGAGACAGGGCUUUAUGAGCAUAAGCAGCUAUACAUCCAAAAAGGGCAGAAGAAAGGAUGGUGCUUGGGAAACGCCAAGUCAUUCAGCAUUACCAAAGCGUAAAUUCAAGAGACAUCUGUUUUCUGUUUCAACAGCCUUUUCUCUUGCCUUCAUUAUUUCAAUCAUUCUACUUUGGUUUAAUUAGUAUACUAUUUCUAACAUGGUGGAUAUAGGUAAUAAAAUUGUAUUGACUUUUCAGCUUUUUUUGAUAACAAAUGAAAUAUAAAAAUGUAAAUUUUCCUCUUGGUAUGUUAGCUGUUUGGUUUUGAGGUGGUAUACUUUUACUACUACUAAUUUCAAUUUUUUUUUCUAAAUUUUUGUUGAUUUUCUUUUUGACCCAAAGAUUAUUUACUGUUUAUUUUCAACACAUCGGUUAUUUUCAGUUAUCCUUUUUUAUUAUUAUUUCUAACUGAAUUCCACCGUGGUCAGAGCAAUAAAUACUCUAUGAAUUUGAUACUUUUGAAUUUUACAACUUGUCCUUCACUUAGCAUAUAUUUAAUGCUGAUGAAUGUUCCAUAUACACUUGAAAAGAUCAUAGAUUUUACAUUGUUUGGGUGCAAUGUUUUAUACAUGUCAGUCAGGUCAAGGUUGCUGGUUAUAUUGUACAAGUAUUCUAUAUUCUUAGUGUAUUAGUCUCAAAAGCAGAGUCUGAAACAGAGUUUGUGUGCAGAUAGUUUAUUUUGGAAAAAAUAAAAACACAAAUAAACAAAUGGCACCUAAUCAAACUUACAAGUUUUGCACAGCAAAGGAAACCAUAAAAAAAAAAAAAAACCUAUGGAAUGGGAGAAAAUAGUUGCAAAGGAUGCAACCAACAAGGGUUUAACCUCCAAAAUAUACAAACAACUCAUACAACUCAACAAUAAACAAACAAACAAUCCAGUAAAAAAAAAAAUGGACAGAAGACUUAAAUAAACAUUUCUCCAAAGACACAUGGAUGGCCAGUAGGCACAUGAAAAAAUGCUCAACAUUGGAGUUCCUGUUGUUGCACAGCAGAAAUGAAUCCAACUAGUAUCCAUGAAGAUGCAGGUUCAAUCCCUGGCCUUGCUCAGUGGGUCAGGGAAUCCAGCAUUGCUGUGGCUGUGAUGUAGGCCAGAAGCUGCAGCUCUGAUUCAACCCCUAGCCUGGGAACUUCAAUAUGCUGCCGGUGCAGCCCUAAAAAGCAAAAAAAAAAAAAAAAAGAAAGGAAAGAAAAGAAGAGAAAAAGAAAAAAAUGCUCAACAUCAUUAAUUAUUACAGAAAUGCAAAUCAAAACUAUAAUGAGGAACAACCGCACACUGGUCAGAAUGGCCAUCAUUAAUAAGUCUACAAAUAACAAAUGCUGGAGAGGGUGUGGAGAAAAGGGAAUCAUCCUACACUAUUGAUGGGAAUGUUAAUUGGUACAACCACCAUGAAGAACAGUAUGGAGGUUCCUCAGAAAACUAAAUAUAGAAAUACCAUUUAAUCCAGCAAUCCCAUGCCUUGGUAUAUAUAUCCAGACAAAACUGUAAUUCAAAAAGAUACAUGCACCUGCAGGUUCAGAACAGUACUUCACAAUAGUCAGACAUGGAAACAACCUAAACGUCCAUCAACAGAUGAAUGGAUUAAGAAGAUGUGGUACAUAUACACAAUGGAAUACUAAUCAUCCAUAAAAAAUAAUAAAAUAAUGCCAUUUGCAGCAACAUGAAUGCAACUAGAAAUUCUCAUACUAAGUGAAGUAAGUCAGAAAGAGAAAGACAAAUACCAUGUGAUGUCACUUAUAUGUGGAAUCUAAAGUAUGGCACAAAUUAACUGACCUACAAAACAGAAACAGACUCACAGACAUAGAGAACAGAACUGUGGUUGCGGGGGGCGGGGGUCGGGGAUGGACUGGGAGUUUGGGGUUAAUAUAUGCAAACUAUCAUAUUUAGAAUUGAUAAGCAAUGAAGUCCUACUGUAUAGCACAGGGAACUAUAUCCUGUCUCUUGAGAUAAACCAUGAUGGAAGAUAAAAUAAGAAAGGGUGUGGGUGUAUGUGGGUGUGUCGGGGGGUGGUGUGUGUGAGAGAGAGAGACUGGGUCACUUUGCUGUACAGCAGAAAUUGACACAACAUUGUAAACCAACUAUAAUAAAAAAAAUUUUUGAAAAAGAAUUGUGCACUUGAGAUACAGGAGAAUAAUUAUCGACUGGCUCCUGUCUUUAUUGGUUGAGGGCUGCCCUGAGUGGCAUUAAUUCACUUGGCAUGUAACAAAAUGAUUGAGCAAAUUCUUGUAAGGGUUCCAUGUAUAGGUAGCAGUGAAACUCCAGGGAAGAAACAAAGACAUGCAUGAUGCAGUUGUGACAAGGAGUUGUCAAGUUACACCUGUGUAGAGCUGACUGAUAUGGCAAUAACUGCAAUAAAAAUAUGGGCCAAGAGAUGGAAGACAGGGUACAAGAGGUGUCCAAUAAAGGUACAGAUAUUUUUGUCUGCCUGUUCUAUCAGGCACCCCUAAAAACAGAGAUGUAUUUAAUUGUCCCACCGUGACUGCGGAUGUUUCUAUUUGUUCAGCUUUGUCAAUUUUUUGUUUUAUACAUUUUGAAGUCACAUUAUUAUGACUUGAGACAAACCAUAUGUGUAUAUAUGAUUUAGGAUUAUUAAUACUUCCCAAUGAAUUGAUCUUUUAGCAUUAUAUAAUGUCUUUUUUAUCUAUAGUAAUACUAUUAUUUUUAAAGUUUGCUUUGUUUUUUAUUAGUACAGUUAGAGCAGCUUUUCUUUUCUAUUUUAGUGUUUGCAAGCCACAUCUACUUUCAACUUGAAAGAGCUGGAAAAGAAAUUUUCAAUAUUUCUAUGUUGUUAUAUUUAAUAAGAGGCUUUCCUUGUAAGCAGUGUAUAGUUUUAAAAAUCCGUUCUGAUAAUUCUGUCUUUUAAUUACACUAAUUUUGGGUACAUUUUAGGUAGUAAUUGACAUGGUUUUUUUUAUGGCCGCACCCACAGCAUAUAGAAGUUCCCAGGCUAGAGAUUAAAUCGGAGCUGCUGCAGUCUACCCACAACACCAGAUCCGAGCCGCAUCUGUGACCUAUGCCACAGCUUUGUGGCAAUGCCAGAUCCUUAACCUACUGAGUGAAGCCAAGGAUCAAACCUGCAUCCUCACAGAGAUAAUGUCAGAACCUUAACCUGCUGAGCCACAACAGGAACUCCAACUUUAGGUUUAUCACCCUACUACACGUUUUCCAUUGUUUCACCUGUUUCAUGUUAUUUUUCUUUCCAUUCUUGCCAUCUUUUAGAUUAAUGAAGUAUUUUUUAAAAAUCCAUUAGCUCAUCUUUCAGCCGGUUAGUUAUACAUUAUUUUUCUAAUCUUCUAAUUGUUACUCUAGAGAAUAAAUAAUAAAAGUACCGCUAUAUUAAAUGUAAUAUAAGUUUUACCCCUUCUGGAAAAUUCAAGGACUUUAGAAAAUUUAACUCCAGGCCAAAGUGUGUCUGUCUGGGCCAGGAAGGAAGGAGGGCACAGGGUACCGCUGUCCAGUUUUCCCAGCACCACUUACUUGACAGAGACAAGACUAUGGCAUAGAACGACUGGGGCUCACCUCCUCUCACAAAAAAAGCCAAAAUUACAACUAACUUUUGAAUAGCCAAAACACACUGGAAGCUACCAAAAAAAGAUAUCCUUUACCCAAAGACAAAGUUGUCACAUCAAGAAGGUAGGAGGGGUGCUUUCAUGAUAUAAGCAAUCCCAUAACCGUUGGGUGGGUGACCCACAGACUGGAAAAUAACUAUAUGGCAGAGGCUCUCCCACAUGAGUGAGAGUUUGGGGCUCCACAUCAGGUUCCCACGCCUGGGGGUCUGGCACUGGGAGGAGGAGCCCCUGAAGCAUUUGGCGUUGAAAGCCAGUGAGGCUUGAGCACAGGAGCUCCACAGGACUGGAGGGAACAGAUUCCACCAUUGGAGGGCACACAAAGGGUUUCUCGUGCACUGGGUUCCAGGGCAAAGCGGGGACUCCAUAAGAAUCUGGAUCAGGCCUACCUGUGGGUCUUAGAGGGUCUCCAGGGAGAGCAGGGGGUGGCUGUGGCUCACUGAGGGGACAGGACAAUGGACACAGAGGUCCCAGGAAUAAUCAUCAAUGUGAGCUCCCCUGGAGGUUGCCGU
rnacentral:lncRNA from 1 species